GCUUCCUUGGCUCAGUUGGUAGAGCGUUGGUCUCAUAAUCCAAAGGUCGAGAGUUCGAGCCUCUCAGGGAGCA
rnacentral:tRNA from 1 species